UACGUAGGCAGCGAGCGUUGUUCGGAGUUACUGGGCGUAAAGGGUGCGUAGGCGGUUGUUUUAAAGUUUGGUGUGAAAUCUCCCGGCUCAACUGGGAGGGUGCGCCGAAUACUGAAUGACUAGAGUGCGGGAGAGGAUAGUGGAAUUCCUGGUGUGAGCGGUGAAAUGCGUAGAUAUCAGGAGGAACACCGGUGGUGUAGACGGCUAUCUGGAC
rnacentral:rRNA from 1 species